UACGGGGGGAGCAAGCGUUGUUCGGAUUUACUGGGCGUAAAGGGCGCGUAGGCGGUCAGCACAAGUCAGUUGUGAAAUCUCCGGGCUUAACUCGGAAAGGUCAACUGAUACUGUGCGACUAGAGUGCAGAAGGGGCAACUGGAAUUCUCGGUGUAGCGGUGAAAUGCGUAGAUAUCGUCAGGAAUGCCGGUGGUGAAGACGGGUGACUGGGCUGGUUCUGACACUGAGGCACGAAAGCGUGGGGAGCGAACGGG
rnacentral:rRNA from 1 species